rnacentral:lncRNA from 1 species
UUUUUUUUUUGGCAGUGCUACUAUUAUCUUGUUGUUUUCUCUGUUGUGCUGACUAUGUUGUGCUGAUUAAUUGUUAUUGUUUCUGUCUUAGAUCAGAUGUACAAUUUUUUGUGGAGUGUCACUAUUGCCUUUGCUUUAUUAUUGUCCUGAUUUAUAUGCUAUGAACCAUUUUAAGUUUUUAUCUUAUUUAUGAUCCUAUUUUGCUUUCCUCUUGAAAGCCCUAAGUGUUGUAUAUCCUGCAUCUUUGUAUUGGUGAUUGUUAGUUUUAUAAUUUGUAUCUAACUGAAUUUUGAGUUGAUAGUACUUGCAUAGUGAAGAAUUCUUGUCUAGAUAUACUUGCAUUGAUUUUGAAGUAAUAAAUAAACCUUCCAACUUGAUGUAUUAGUAACAAAGUGCCUGAGUAAAGAAAUUGAUUUUUUCUUUGCAAAGACCUAAGCAUUCAUUAUCCAGUGCUCGUUAAAGAAACUAAAUCAAAAGGGCGCGGACCAGUUGUUGUAGGUUCUGUGCCUUUCAACAAAGUGCCUGAGUAAAGAAAUUGAUUUUUUCUUUGCAAAGACCUAAGCAUUCAUUAUCCAGUGCUCGUUAAAGAAACUAAAUCAAAAGGGCGCGGACCAGUUGUUGUAGGUUCUGUGCCUUUCAAGAAGGCUCCAUUACAUGUCAAAGUAGAAGUUGACCUAAACGAAAGUCAAUUUUCUUGUAGAACUGAUUUGGUCAUCAUAAUAUGCUAACAUUAGAUGUCUGAUGUACAAGAAAAAUAUCAAGAGGUAGUAUUUGGUUCUAAUGAUCAUAGCCCGGCAACUUGCGAAUUGCAUUUCUAAAAUUUGUGUUGCUGGCCUGGAUGGAACUUGAAUUAUUCUAUCUCUUGUGCACAUCAUGUCUCCAAAUCACUUACUCCCUCCGUUCCAAAUUGUAGGUCGUUUUGGCAUUUCUAGAUUCAUAGCUUUUAAUAUGUUUUAAUAUGUAUCUAGAUGCAUAGCAAAAACUAUGAACCUAGAAAUGCCAAUUUGGAAUGGAGGGAGUAUGGAAUAUAUAUUUAGGUAUCAAUUCUCACCUUUUUCAUCUUCAACAGGCUCUUUGCCACCUAUGGUUGAUCCAGGUGAGGAGGGUCCCCUCUUCCCUGACGUCCAAUUUUGGAAACAGUGUGCUGAUCCAGUCCUUGCUCAAGAUCCAUUUUCUUCUUUGAUGUCAACACUUUUCUGUCUACCUGUUCAGUUUGUAUCAUCUGCUGAAUUCUUCAUCCCUUUUGUCCAUCUGUUUUAUGUUGUUUGUGCCAUUCAGGUAUGCUGUUUGGUGUUGCUUUCUCUUGAGAUUUGCAGUUUAUAUGUUAGUUUUAUUUGAUUUAAAGCAUGUUAUUACAUGAAUUUUCCUGUAGGCCCUGAUAACAUGCUACGGAUCGGAAACUUUUGACCGAUCUAGCUUCAGUGACUGCCUUCUUAAUGAUGUUUGCAAGACAAUGUCAGGAUAUGAUAUUGCCAGAGAGUAUUUUGUAUCCAAAUAUAUCGACCCGUAUUGUCAUCCAAAAGAUAUGGUCCGUAGAUUGACGUAUCCUUAUCUUCGGAGAUGUGCAUUGCUUUGGGAGCUGCUAAGAUCGUCUGCCACAUCACCCUUAUAUGACAAUUCCAAUAUUUGGGAAGGAUCACAUCUUUACCUGAGCAAUAGCACACAAGAUGGAAGUUCUUCACUGGCAAUGGAGCUAAAUGGAAUAAGCGAAUUGGAAAAGCUGUUCCAGAUUCAGUCACUGGACCUGAUUCUCCGAGAUGAAUCUGUACAUGUGCUGGCCUUAAAAUGGUCUCAACAUUUCUGUGAAGAUUACAGUUCUCGCAAAUAUAGAGGCUCUCUCUUUUCUACCCCUGCAGUUCCAUUUAGGCUGAUGCAACUACCACCUGUCUACCAAGUUCUCCUUGAAAGGUUUGGUCUGAAUCUUCUAAGCUGAGAUGAUGUUUUGCAUGGGCUGUGCCUUGAUGGGCUAAGCUUUUCCCACAUUUCUGGAGCUAAUGGCUUGUCAUUUUUUGGAUCAGAUAUAUCAAGAUGCAAUGCCCCGAUUGUGGCUCAGUGCCUGAUGAACCGGCAUUGUGUUUGCUUUGUGGCAAACUAUGUUCACCUAGCUGGAAACCAUGCUGCAGGUGAUAGCACUUUGCUUUUUACAGUUCCAAGUAGCCUUGUUUUGGUUCUACUGUAAUUAAUGCUAAAUCCUAAUUAUUGUUUAUUCUUUGUAGGACUGGUAAAUGCCUGAAUCAUGCAUCACAAUGUGGUGCCGGUGUUGGCAUAUUUCUUUUAGUGAGGGUAUGUAUUAGCUUAUUAUUUGCCAUCACACCAAAUUAUUAUGGCCAGUGUACUUUCCUUUGUUCUUUCUGAGACCAAGCUCCUUUCCUAUUUUGACGGAUGUGCUGUGCAGAAAACAACGAUCCUGUUGCAGCGAUCUGCUCGUCUUGCCUUUUGGCCAUCUCCUUACCUUGACACGUUUGGGGAGGAGGUAUUGAAUAAUUUCGUAUGCUUUGUUGUUGUUUAUGGACUUAAGCCUGUUUGUUACGAUCCCCACUAAAUUUUCCUCCCAGGUCUCAAAUGGGAGCUUUUUUCUUUUUGAUGUUAUCCUCGUGCUUCUCCAUGAAGCAUCUCUUACAAUAGCAAUACAAAGUGAUUUAUGAUGGCUUGAUGCCGUGCCUAAUCAUCUGAGACCUUUUAUAGAUCAAUGCUGUGCCUAAUCAUCUGAAUCUUUUGAUACAUCAGACAUACUGCUGUAGGUCUGAUGGCGUAUUGAUCCUCUUCACUUUCUGUUUUCUGUGGAUAAACAUUGAUUAUUUAAGGUUAAUAUGGGUGGUAGUUUAUGCCUAGCUUGCAAGGCAAAUGCACUGUUAAGUGGGGGUAGUUGAGAUUUGUCCUUGCAUAGUUGCAUUCAUACUGCAAGGUCAUUAGACAAAUGCCUACAUACAAAAUUUUGCAAUGAGGUAAAGGGGGAUUUUUUUUUACAUGUCUAGAUGUGAGCUUAUUCCCCUUCCCUUCUGGCUUUCUGUUUGAAUGCAGGAUCAUGAAAUGCAGAGAGGAAAGCCUUUGUAUCUAAGUCAAGAAAGAUACACAGCCUUGACCUAUCUGGUAAUAGGCUGACACCCUUUCCUCUUUGCUUUCUCGACUUAAUGCUAUUAGGAAUUUGCACCAUUUUUUAUAAAUGGGAUGCAUGCCCUUUUUUAUGUGAUAGGUGGCAUCUCAUAGCCUUGAUCGAACUUCUGAAGUCCUUCGGCAAACGACUAUCAGCUUUUAUGGAUCUGGAUCUGAUUAAAUGCAAUUUCCAUGGAACAAUGUUGAAAGGUUUGGAUUAUGUUUAUGUUUGGCAUGUUGGAUUUAGAGAAUGGAAGGAUUGGCAGCUUUGUUUUCCCAAAUGCUUGUUCAUUGGUCAUAAUGGUUGGUUUAGGUGACAAACGGAAUUUGAUUAGUUAGCAAGGGCAUAUUUGUACUAUGGUAUGUGGUCACUAUUUACUUCUCUUAGUAGGCGUGCACAAAUCUAAACAUUGAAUAUAGAAAGAAGACGGAGUAAUCUUAACAUGUGUAUUAGACCCACCAGAGCAAUUAUGCUGCUGGCAGGUCACCCAGCCACAAACAAGUUUUGUCAUGUACAGUUCUAUGAAAGAGCUUGCCAAUGGAAUGAGAGGGGGCCAAUAAGAGAGUGGAUUAGAUAACAAUUAAGUGGUGACAUAGGGCAUUGCUUACCCUUGGCCUUAGAGAAGCUUUGCAAUUGUCUUGAACUGCAACAGCAGUACUCCCUCCGUCCCAAAAAAAAAAGUCAUUAUAGGAAGUUUAAGACAUACUAAUAAGGAGGUAAAAUGACCUUGUUUACCCCUAUUUAUUAGCCAUAUUUAGCACAAAUGGACAGCAUUAUGCAUAUGCACAUACCAAAUAGGGUAGAAUGACUUGUUUUUUGGGACAAAUCUUGAACCCUAGAAUGACUUUUUUUUUGGGAAGAGGGAGUACAUGAUAAUCUCUGUCGAAUCAUCACCGCUCACACCUUUAGCAGGACAAAUUUUACAUUGCAGUGUGAUACUAGGGUUAUUGUUAAUUUAUCAUUUGCUGCCUUGUCAGGGUCUUGUGGAUGUGCAUAUUUUUGGGAACUCUAGUGCAACUUGGUGUUCAUAUUUUCCAGCGGUAACAAGUGUUACCUCUCCCAAGGUUUACAUCUACAAGCUUCUUUUGCUAAUGGGCGUUUAAGUGCAAAAUGCUGUGACAUGCCUGUGCCAUUGUUUUCGCUUCUGAUUACUUGUCGAUCUUCCGGAUGGCGUGGAUCCUGCAGGCUUUGCCACCGGUCGUGCUUGGGGGCCCUGCCGUCCUCUCUUGCUGAAUGUACGGUUGUUUUCAUGCUUCUUUUCAUUGUUCAUGGCCGGUGCUUCCCAAAGUGGAUGAUAGGUAGGCCUAGUGGCGACCUGGAAUAUUUGACGAUCGACUGCUUGAUCUGUCUGUACAGUGUAUUACAUUGGAUCGGUGUAGUUAGUAUGAAAAAGGCAGGCAAGUGCCAUUUGGUCAUCAUGUGCUUUUGUGUACCAUGUUGCUUUGUCAUUUGUCUGCUGAAUCUUUCGAGUUCUUGUUUCUUUUUUCAUGCAAGUUCUUGUGUUGAAGCGAGGUCAGAGUGCUCUGCAUAGGCACUAACACAUUGUUUCGUUGCAGCACUAACACUCAGCUUGGGAGCGUCCCUUGUUGCAACCUACGUACGGUGUGCUUUGCUUCGAAGGUUGGGUAGAAAAGCAAUGAGAAGUCGCAUGAAAGAAAUGAGUAUUCAAGUCCGCAUAUCGCAUAAAAGGUGUAACGGUAAUUAAAAAAAACUCGACGAGUCCAAGGCUUCAAGCCUUGGAAACACAGUGGCUGUACCAGGUGUAUACAAAAGUCAUCUGCGGGAGUACUCAUCAACCAACUUCGUUCAGCUUGAAGAUAGAGGCUGAACAUCCGGCGAUGGACCAUGUUGCUUGGUUCUUCUUCGAGGAGGCACCUCCUGAAUUGCUCUGCUUUGGCGCAGCCAACCAUCUCCAGACGUUUCAGCUUGCCUAGAUUCUCUGCCUGGUCCAGGGCUGGACAGUCCUGCACGAACAAAUCCUCAAGCUUGGAAAGAUUGGCGAUCCUCGUAAGGCUUCGGUUGUGCUUCACCUUGAGCCACACAACAGCGGGAAGGUCCACAAAUCUCAUGUAGGCUAUGCGCACCUUCGACAAGUUUGCAGCCCUGUGCAGAUCUUGAGGGAGUGCCCUCAAUUUUGGACAAUGCAGUAGCGACAGACGCUUGAGGAGAGGCAUCAGUAUCACCUGGUUGGGGGAGUCUCCGAUUGUGUUCUGAUUGCACAUGCCUACUGUGCUCAGUGAGCAGGCCUCCACAAUUUUAUGAACAUUACAUUCAGCUCAAAUUCCUCAAACAAGACAUUGAAAAGCGAGGGCAGGAGAUUCAGCACGCUCAAACAAUACAAAAACGCCUUAAGCGAUCAUAUAAGCACACUGCAAAAAAGACAGAAGGCGCCACUGAAGAGGUGAUUUACAGCUAUCAAUCAACAAAAUUUCCGAUUCGACUACAAUUUUUUUGUAUCGAACACGCAAGAGAUUUGACUUGGUCAAAGUUGUGUUUUGAAGACUGGGUACUGCUUAUUUGGAACUGGAGUGAGCAUUAUACGUGUUUUCUUUAUGAAUAAUGUACUAUAAGAACAAAACAAAAGUUGUUCCAAACUAACCAAAUAAAAGUUCGCAGUAGAAAACUAUUGCUACAGUUAUAUCAGUUCCUUUUUGCGCAGCAUCCAUCUUUGGCGACAAUGGAUGGUAAUGUGUUCAAAUUUUAUUCCGUUCGGGUGCAAGUCUACUGUUGAAUGGCUUGGCUUCAAAACUUUGCCGCCCAGUUGUGCCUUGCGGACUUGCAGUUGCGGUGGUUGCCCACUACUUCAGCUUCCAACGGUCCAAGGUGUUUUGCACCAGCCACCAGGUACUGUGCCAUUCUGAAGAGCAUAUCAAAUUGUCGAGGAUUUUGGCCCAUAGCCAGACAUCAUACCACAGUCCAAGGUGCACACUGCAAUCCACCGUCGGCGGACCUGCUGAUCACAUGAACAAUGUCUGGUGUUGAUGGACGGCUAGUAACCAUGAUACCGGAACAAUUUACAAGGACGAAUGACGUUUCAGAGUAUCAGUAAAGAACAUUGCCAAUCACAAAAGGAGAAUAUAAGCUGAGAAAUUGCUGAAACAGUAGCAAAGCCUAAAUGUUGAUAACAACAUAUCAGUAUAUCACAUUAGAAAUGAAGCCAUACACUUUACUAAGCUAGUUUGCUCACCUUUCUAAUGAUAGAGAGAUUCAUCUGGAAAUAUAUCUCGGCCAUCCGCACCAACUGUUGCAACAUGUACUCAGAUGUCUUGUUCUUCUUUCAGGAGACAAUUCCUGAACUGCUGUCCGUUCAGGCAGUCAACCAUGUACAAGCACUUCAGUGAAGAUUGGAGAUUCUCCUCAAAGAUUUAUUGUUCUUGACCGUGAGCCACAAAACUUCAGGAAGGUUUACAACUUGUUGAAGCUUGUGAGCACCUUCAAUGUGAAUCCUUUUUAAAUUAACAGCUCUAUGCAAAUCUUCAGGGAGAGCUCUUAGUUUAGGACAAUCAAGGAGCAACAGGCGCUUAAGGCAAGGCAUCAGAACGAGCUGUUGAGAUUUGGUCUCCAUGUUAUUACACAAGCUUCUUGUUUUGAGGGACCAACUUUCCAAAUUGCGCAUGCGAAUGAUGUGAAGCAAUUCGAGCUUUGGGAAAACAGCUGCUGCUUUAGUCACACCUCUCCCCAGGAAUUCUGCACCCAUAGUCACUACUGCACCUGCACCUCUAAUCUGAAGAACUAGUAGUUCUGGCAUCUGGCCUACUGGUGGUAGUUGUAAACAUGAUAUGCACUCAUUGAGCUGCAUGUGAGACAAAUUUGGAAGCUUAUACUCUGGCUCUGAACAUAGCCAUUCUGGGAACCUUACACCAGGGAACCCAACAAAGAAAAUGUAUAAUAGGCUUGGUGAUGGAAUAAGCAUCUCAUAGACUUGCUGAAUUUUCUCAAUCUCACUGGCUUGGUAAUGAGUUUUAUCAUGAAUAUUCAUGCCCACUGUGCAGCACAACCCCAGUUCUCUGGCUUGGUAUUGCCUUUUCAAGCUUCUCAACCCAGAGGCGUUGGAUAUUGGUGAGACAUUUUAAUUCAUCCAAUCUGAACCCAGUCUCACUUUCAAAGACACCUCUGAGGUAGUAGAGCUGCUGGAACUGGCAAUUCCUUUUGGAACAUGAUCAAUAGCAGUCUUUUCAAGUUUAAGAAAACUUAUCUGUGAUAGUCUCAUUAAACAAACUGUCAGACUAUCCAACUUAUGGCAACCACGCAAUGAGAGAGAUUCAAGGCUGGUAAGCCUUCCAAUCGAAUCUGGAAGUUUGCUGAUCUCUGUAUAACUUAGAUCUAGCAACCUCAACAACACCAGGUUUCCCACUGACUCUGGAAUGAUUAGGAUGCCCGAUCCACUUAGAACUAAGACACGGAUGUGCUCAAGCUUUCGGAAAAUAUUCGUGUUAACUGACUUGAAGUUCUUGUUAUUGAAAAUUAGGAGGCUCCUCAUGCAUUUAUACUCUCCUAUAGCAGGUAUUUCUUCUACAGAACUGCUGAUACUUAAGCACCGCAGAUUAGGCGGAACUUCAUUAUUUUCUGCAUUCAUGAAUAAGGAAUGAUACCUUGUCAAAUACUGCCCAAGUGACCUCAAUAGAUCGUGCAUUGUUGAAAUACCUUUGUCCACGAAUUCUGGUUUUGGUUGCAGAAGAUUCCUCGUAAUUAGCUCAUAAUAGUAUUCUUCAGCAAUUGCAUGAAUCGAGCACUUGUGAUCUUUCCUCACAAAACCUUCAGCAACCCACCAGUAAGCAACAGCAUUACGCUCGAUUGCAAAAUUUGGAGGCAACAAAGCACACUCUUAAGUUGAGGGGUUAAGUUGCUAUAACUCAUAUAUAGGGGGCCUCCUAGUUCUUUGGGAAGUCCGUGGAUAGACCAGUUGCUAUCUCGGAUGCUCUCCCAUUCUGCCCUUGUUCUUUUAGUAGAUAGAACACCCGCAACAACCGCGAUGGCUAGAGGAAGACCAUCACAUUUUCUUACUAUUUGACACCCAACAUCACUAAAUUCAUUUAGUUGCACAUAUAUGGUCGGAAAGACUUCUUCAUUAGAAGUUCCAGGCCAUCAUAAUCAUUCAUUUUGUUUACUUGGUGAGUAUAUGUUGCGUGCAUUCCUGCCAAAACAUCCAGGUUUCUUGUGGUGACAAGGAUAUUUGCAUUCGAGCAUCUCUUGAAAGGCGAUCGGAGAAGAUCAAUCCAGACAUCAGAUUUCCACGCAUCAUCUAAAACAAGAAAUACACUCUUUCCUCUGAUAGUGUCCAUCAGAUGGAAAAGAAGUUCGGUCUUGGUCUCAAGCUGACCACAUGUUGCUCCAGCCAUUCGUAUUGCCUGCCUUGGCAAACCAAUCUCUGUGUAGCUCUGAGAAACGCACAACCAUAUAUGAACUUGGAAUUUCUCCCUUAUCCUCUGCUCAUUAUAUAUCUUCUGAGCUAAUGUUGUCUUACCAAUGCCUCCCAUCCCUUGAAUACCAAAAACAGUUGAUUUGUCUUCAUGAAAAUUACUAAGAAUCAUUUUGACCAUGUCAUCAGUCGCCUGUCUGAUAUCUCUUCCAAAAACCUCUAGUUCAUCUAUGGGUGAUGUCUGACUUCUAUCCACAACAGGUACUUGAUACUGUUGACUACUGGUCCUCUCCAAGCUGAUGAACAUGUUUCUGUUCUUUUGAAUUUCAUCUAGCUUUCUGUUUAUAUCCUUGAUUCUUUUAGCAACCCUGUGAUCAAAUGAAAGUUUCGCGAUAAAGGACAAAAGGGACUGGUUGCAACAUUCCAUUCUAGGUGGCAGCAAUAGCUUCUGUGAGUGAACCAUGAAGUGAUCUAUGACAUCAUCCACAUCAAACAUAACGUCAGUCAUGUUCUUCCACCAUGACUCUGCCCCCCUAUCUUGCUUCAGCAUCCUCACCAACAGCGCCAAAAUGUUCCAGAUUUUUCUUGAGCCUCUUGAUAUCCCUUUUCACACUCAAUGUCAUUGCAACUUCAUCCUGGAUAAUCUGACUAAGCUUUGCCAGGAAUUUUGAAGUGAGAGCAUCCAAAAAUGCACCCAUACUGCUCAAACAGCUAGACCUAUGGAUUGUCACCGGAUCUCACUUGCCCUCAAGCUUCAGAUUGUAUAUGAUAUAUCUCAGUUAACCGCAGCUCAUUCGAGAUUGGAAAGGGUAGGAGAUGUUGAAAUAGAGGGAGUGCAGUUUGAUGGAAUUGGAGAGGCCAAUGCACAAGUGAGCUGUUAUAAGUUCCCAUCACUGUAAAGACCCGACCUAAUCAUAGACACCUAAUGUCUUGGGCAUUCCCAUUUGCUUCCAAUCUUUUCAACACAGGUAAGAACAUAUAUCUCAAAAAACAAAGGACUAUUGUUGCAGACUUGCUGACGGGAGGGAAAGAGUCGCCACCAGAAAAUAUUUGUUUGACGGCAGACAUUCGUGCAUUUCCUCGAACAGUCCAUAUGCGUUCAAUCGUUGGUCUCCAACUCUCCGUAGACUAAGUUUCUUGUUUAUAAAAAAAAAUCGAGAGAGAAGAAUUUGCGAUAGCUGCUCCAUCGUUUUCGCCAAUCUACGUACAGAGAGAGAGCGAUCAAAACAGGCCGUCUACUAACAUCACCAGAAACAAAUCAGCCCGAAACUUCCAUUAGAUUUGUAGGCUUUUUCGCAGAUACACAGAGAGACCUGCAUGAGAAGCGCGCGCUGCGGUUGUCCACUGCAUUGAUUGGUUGGCGACGCCGACUACCGGCCGCGGCGAUAGCCACAGCUCGUCGGCCGGCAGCGCCGCCCACCGCCGGAGAAGAAGCCUGCCAUCCAGGGGCUCCACAUGUUUAUCGGGCCCAGGCGCACAGCCCAGCCCAGCGACACGUUAGUACAACACAGGCCGGGCCCUCUCUCUCUCUCUGUUCGUGUCACGCCGCCCGGACCGCCCCCGGGUCCAGCAAACUAUGAUGAACAGCCCAACCUUGGUGGCCCUCAAAUCAAACCAAAACCAGGAGUCCAGGACCGUACAAACACAUGCUGAUCGAAUAGGCGAUAGGCCGAAGGUCUGCGAUUGAGAUGAUGAAUCGAUUUUUCUUUUUCACCAAUGUGGCAAUUUAUUAACUAUCCGCUUCCUCUCCCUUGCAAGAAGACAUUUUCGCCGUUGCAAGAAAAGCUCCCAGUGAAAGGGGGGCAAAAAAAAAUCAAGUCACACGACAUCGAGAGUACACAAAGAUGGUAGAUGCAUAUAGAUGGAUGGUUACACGAGACACUGAAGACAGUAAGCAGGCAGCACAUACAACACGGAGCAGAGCAUUGCCUGCUUGCUACACACACUGACACUGCUACAGAUGAGCCCCACAAGCGACCUGCCUGCGAGGAAGGACACGGCGACGACGGCGACUCGCAUCUCAGUACCAUUAUUCUUCUCCAUCAGUACGAUUACUAGCAGCAUGCGCAACACUGUUAUUAAGCAUGCCACACACACACUUAGGACACAACACUGCUAUACUAGGGUGUCCUUCCGAUCGCCUCCACCGGCCAGGGGCCGCGCCAUGAGCUCAUCACUUGCCGCAGGUGCAGGGGUUGCAGGUGCAGUUGGGGCCGCACUGGCACCCGCCGUUCUCGGCUCCGGCGGACGCCGCGCCGCCCUCGAACCCGCCGUCGGCGUGCCUGCGCAGAGAAAGCCAAGAUAUGACAGAGUCAGUGGCCUGGCUCAUACAUGCAUACAGAGCAUUUUUGGCAUGUUCGCUACCAGCAGCUACAUACGAGUGCAUGACGUCCCAGACUUCUCAGUUCAGGACAAAUUAAAGUUCUUUUUUUUUUCUUUCUGUUUUUGGGCCAGCAGUUUGUUUGUUUCAUGAUUGCCAAAAACUGCUUUCGUCGUAGCUUACUGCUCCCUGCUCGUUGCUGAUGGCGACUGAAAUUUGUACUACCACUAUGCGGACAAAUACCACAGCUACGCAUGCUAACAGAAGUUGGUACUGCUCCCUACACGAUCGAUCGAUCUACCCCCACAACACAAGGCAAAAGACAGUAAAAAUAGUACAGCUAGUAAUUCUGCACCACAGAAACUGACUGCUAUUAUUAGCAAAGGUGUGGAUGGUGGAUCAUUCAGAUCAACACAACACCGGAAUGAUCUAUGAGCAUGAUGUAGAUCAGUAGAUGGGAAAAGGGAUGGAUGAACAUACCCCUUGUUGGAAGGCGCAACGCCCGUGAUGACGGUCUGGGUGGUGGUGGUGCCCUGCUCAGCCAUGUCCGGGAACAUCUUGCACCUGCAGAUCAUGCAAGCGGCAGAUCAGCAUCAUCAGAAAUUUCCCUUGUUGAAGGAGCACAACUACAGCAUGCACAUCGUUUCAGAGAAACGAAGUUCAUCAGACAGGAAUUCACAUGCGCAGCAACAUGAGAAAACCUCUCUGUUUUUUUUCUAAAAUAAAAAAGGGGAGCUUGAUCUCCCAGCUCUACAUAUCCUAUACUCAAAGAUCCAUCCACAAAGGUCCAGCAAGAACACAAGAACAACCGAAUACAUGCAUUCAUAUGGGUAUUGACACAUGAUAGACACGCAUCAGACUAUCAGAGAUCUGAGGAGCGUGGCGUCGUGGGGCUUACCCUCCGCAGCCGCUGCCGCACUUGCAGCCGGACCCGCACCCGCAGUUGCCUCCGCAGCACGACAUCCUCGCGAGAUCGAUUCAGAGACGAACACAAGCAGAGAGCGGCGUUCUUGGCAAUGAGUCACUGAACAACAACGAGAUGCAGUAUGCCUUCCCCCUGCCCCGACGGGGAGGCCGCAUUUAAAGGCCCGGCGGGCGGCCAUCUGGCCGUCCACGCGGCGCGGGCCGUCCUGACCCGCCCGUGACGUGGGGCCGCCGCCUCGGCCUGCGGGUCCGGUUGUCGAUUGAGUGCACGGCUCUCGGUGGCGGAUGGCCGGCCGUCCGUGGGACGCCGACAAAGGCGGUUCGGAGCACACGUACGGUAUGAUCCAGAAUUUCGGUGUGGCCUCUAGCGUUGCAUUUUUACUGGCAGAGUAGAAAGAAUAGAUUCGUCUUCUCCCUGCAGUUAACACAGCUUAGCCAUUCGUGAAAGUUACCAGUAGAUAAAUAAAUAAAUGCGAAAUUGACUUGUUGAUGACCCAUUGAUCUCAUUGUUUGUGACUGGUGAAUGCCAUGUGUUUCUUAGCAUGAUGGUGAUUUCUCAAGAGAUGUUUAUUUCUCGGUGGUUAUGGCAACAAAAACCAUUCUUGUGCCAGAAAUCUUUCCCUCCUCUAAUAAAAAUUCGGCAAAACUCUUGCCGUCCGUUCAAGAGAAGAAGAGAACGGUGCGAAUUGUUGCUUUCAAAACGACGAUGUUGGUGGUGCGGCCGAUCGAAGCACCAGGUGCUUUCACGAAAGAGAAGAAUCGGAAUACCGACUGGUGAUGUUUUGGGCUGGUCCUAUCCACCUCGGGGAGGAGGAGUCGGCAUUGGCAAAAUGGACCCGAAAAACCGGCAGCACGAUAAGGCCAGUGUGCAUGGAUGGAUAACGUACGCAUGCUCAUGUGCAGCAGCAUCUAUGAAAAAGGCUCCUUACCUUUUGCUAUUUCUUGUGAGCUUACCAUUACACACCCGAGAAAUAGCGUGUCACGCCACAUCAUGUUAUGUUUCUGUUUUUUUUUUCAGGAAAACAAGAUUUACAGUCUUCCUCACUGUGCUUUUUUUUAUGGUAUUCGUUCAUCUAACAAAGCAGUUUCCUUCUCAGUUCCCUUUUUUAAAAACGGUGUGAAUGGCAUGCCACAAGAGCUGCAAUGUUUGGAUCCUUACACGAUACAAAUACAAAUAUGCGGAUCGGAUAAUAUCAUCAGUGUUGUUGGUGAGGACAGUGACACGAAUCAGUAAAGCAGGCCAGGGAACAACAAACCUUUCUGUGUCACGCAGUUACCGGCCCAAAGGCCGAAAAGCUGGAGAAGCUCCAAAUUCACUUUGCAUCCAUCCCAUUCAGUUGGGAUGAAACGCGUGUAAACUUUUUUUUUUGAAGGAAAAACGCGUGUAAACUUGAGGUCCAUAAAAUAUCUCUGCUCGGUGCACGACGUGGCCGGGCCCCUUUAUUUUUGGACAGGGACGCCACCCCCGCCUGUGUCUCGCAGUAAAAUUACAUGACCAUUAGAGUAAUAGCAGCAGAUUAUACUUUUUUUACGGCACUGUGUGUGUAGCUGUAAAAAAUGUUUGAUUAGACUAGAGCCUUCUUGAGGUGGCGUGCAUGCACAUGCCCUGAACUGCACGCAAGCAUGUCGCUGUCGGGUGGCAACAGGUUAAAAACCAGUCCUGCCCUACCAUGCACGCAUCAGUGACUUGCUGGGAAUUUUUUUUCCUGGCCUCGUAAAAACAACAACGGUUGCAUUGCAUUGCAUUUGCAUGCAUUGUGUAUUUGUGUGGUCUCGUAGAAGACCAAAAAACAAACGAAAAGAAACGCUUACACCAGUGCUCUCCUCUCCUACAACAAUUGAUCAUAUGAUUCUCAGUUUGGUCACAAAUUUUUGGUGCCCCACGAAUGAAACGUCACUGUCUUGAAAAGGAACAAAAAGGAAAAAAAAGCAACAGGCCGGCCAUUGCCAUUCGGCUGCUACUGCACCGUGCUGCUGGGUAGGCAUGUGCCUACCAUAUUCCCAUCACGGGCUUUACCUCUUAUCCAUCCAUUUGCUAUCUUUUCUCUGUUUGUGCUGUGCUGUGUUUCAGCAAAGGAGGAAGAAAUCAUGUCAAACGGGCCUGCUCGUGGAUAAGAUUUUCGCUACGAAUCGUUUCGUACAGGAGGUGGCGAAAAAGUCUUCUAACGCUUCUACGAGUAGAUCAUGUCCCAUGUGUGCCGUCUCUGCAGUGCGUGUGUGGGCGUCAGGUACUGCACCUUCUUGGGCACCAUGAUUGAAGGCUCUGGAACCAUCCUGAUGCAUGGUGCAGAAAAUAUCUGGUGUCAAUGUCAUGCACUCAUGCGUGGAAGAGAAUAAAAAUUUUGAAUUAUACCUUUUGUUCAUUGUUUCCUACGAAAUUCGGAGAAUUGGAGAGAGAUCUGGAGAUGUGCACAGGAUAACUGAAGAAAGUUCGAGAUACGGAAAGGACUCGUUUGUCAAACAGGUUUCGAGUUCAGACUGGCCAAGUGUUCAGACUUCAUCAGAGAGGUGGAUCUCCCGGGAUGCUUCUCUUCGCUUCAGAUCAUACCACGUAUGAAUGUACGGUGAGUCACCCAACUACAUACACAGACUUACUGCAGCAAAACCAGCGAUAUGUGUACACCACUACCGCAACGCCUUUUUUUAAAAAAAAAUAAAAGAAAAAGAAAAGCUAGAGCAUCGGGGUUUUUACCUUUGGGGAUCUCCAAGCUUAUUAUCUGGGCCUAAUCCAGGAGCACCCCGCCCCGAGCAGGAACAAUCGCAGUCUGAUGACUAGGGCCCAUCAGGCUUUGAAGUUUGAACCAUCGUCAUGGACCGGCUCAGUAUAUCAGCCCAGAAAAGCCCACAUGGCUCAAGUCUCUUUGGCGUCACGUUCAUGGCAUCAGAGUAUCAGACGAUCUCAGGAGAAUGGAUCCGAUCAGUGGAAGCAAACUCAGCAAUAUGCAGCCACAAAAUCACCAGUGGUUUGAGCAGAGUAGAGCUUUGUAAGCGCUUUUUUUUUUAGAACCGAUUCACGAACUGCCAUUUCUUUUUGCCUUUGCCUACCUGACAAAGUGACAAAUAAUCAUAUUUAUCAAGAUUAUACAUACAAAUAGUACUUAAAAACAUUUCCUCCAUUCAUUUAUAGUAACCAGCAUGCAAAACUUUCUAGCACAUGAAUUGAAUUCCUAACACCUAACAACAGUACUCCCCAAUCCCCAGAUUAUGUUUUCCUCCACCGAUGAAAAAAGAAUCUGUAGUAUGUACAUCAGAAUGAUUCCAAGCCUUUGCUCAAUAUAGAAUUCCUAACCCCCCCAAAAAUGUAACGGGACAAAAAAUAACUAGCUAGACUCAAAACUCUGCAAGCUGAAGAACGAGCUCUGUCAGAAGCUUGUCAAACACAAAGUCUGCCACCUUGUUCCCCAUAUCAUCAGCAUCUUUCUCAAAAUUCAUCCAGUGGUCGCUCUUUGCUAGGUCCUUCGACAAAAUACUGUCGACUUCGAUGCUUGACCAUGGUCGUUCAUCUAUACGACAGCUCACUCUAGACCACAACUCCUUGAGGCCACGGUGUCCCACGGGUUUUGGUCUACCGGAAGAUGAGAACCAGGAGAAUCUGGACUUGGAAACAGAAUAUUUCUUGUAGAUGUCGAGCAACGCUUCGUUUGUCAAAUCAAACAGAAGCAACUGAUCAGUAGACAUAUCAGUGAAGUCACAUGCUGCUGCAGCAGCUUCGUAGUGUUGGCAAUCCUCUUCUUGGAGAGCUCCGAUAUUCUGUGCGUACCAUUCAUCAAGUAGUAUUUCAUUGCUGAAGCUCGACUUCUUGAAUAUAUCCUUCACAUAGUUGAACUCUGCUUCGUGGAUUGGAUCUACUUCGAAGCCAUUCAGGUUGCCAAAGUCACUUUCUUGCACAAUAUCAGUGUCAACUGAAACAUCAGCAUCAUUUAAAUGGAGAAUUCUUGGCUUCAGUGAUGUAUCUGCAAGAGGCAAAAACAAAGAAAAUGUAAAUAAAAGAAUUGUAACUAGUGCUUGCAACAAGAGUAGCGCAAAAGUAAAUUCAAGAUCUAGAAGUGUUACUGUCACUGGUGAUUUUUUACACUAGUUUAAUAACUGGGCCAUGAAUACUAAAUAUAAAUCUCACCAUCCAGCAGUGUAUAUUUCAUCGGACUAGCAGGAUCAUCUGAGAAGGCCACGUCAAGAACAGAUAUUGGACUUUCAGAUUCUUGCUUGCAACUUAGACUUAUGUCAGCUUCGAAUUCGUGACUGGGAUCAGGAACACAAGAAGUACCUUUUAUUGAUUUUUGAAUCUGGAACGCGUGCAUUUGGUUGUCUUGAGAAGUUGGUGUUUGUUCUUCUGCAAUGUUGGUGUACUCUGAAAGAAGAGUAGUGCAUGAAUCUGCUUGUACUGAAGAGUGGAUCUGAGCAUCAUGACAGGUUUCUACAUGCUCUUCUAGGAUGCCAACUUCUUCUGACAUUGAAUGGGCAGCACACAACUCGAAUUCAGCUGAUGAGGGAACCUGAUCAUUAUUAUCACAGGUUGCUGCCUGUUCUUCUGAAGUAUCAACGACUUCUGAAGGUGAAGGAACAAUAUAAGAAUCUUCUUGAGCUGAAACAGCAACAUCACCCUUUUCCUCAUUCAUGUGUUCUUCAAGAAAAGCAGGUUUUUCAGGGUCACCAGCAACUACAUCACCAGAACUGUCAUCCAUAGUAACUUCAGCAUCUCCAUCAGCAUCAGUUUUCUCUUGAACAUGCGGUGCCAAGGCAUCUUCUGCAGUUACAGGAUUUUCAUCUAGUCUACCCAAACCUUGUGAUCCGAGUUCAACUUCAGAAGCUCUUUGCAAUGAAGUCAUGACACCAGGGGCGUCCAGAGAAUGAUCCCGAGUAGACUUAGAGCUAGUCAGUAUUCUUUUGGAUUCACUACUUGAAAUGGCAUCAAGUAAACGAGAGUAAUCUUCCAAAGAUUCAUUGAGUGAACGUGAACGCCGAAAACCUUGAUUUACAUGCCUCUUUGCAGCAGUACCAAUAUAAGGUUUCAGACCAUCCCUAUCAUACGUGGCAGAGGCUGAUCGGGGGAGACCUUCACUGAUUAUAUCUCCGCACACCUUCUUUCCAUAAGGGACCUUAUGAAGAACUCCAUCCAUCGAAAUGCUACGGUGGCUCUUUCGCUUCACACGACUGUCAUCUCUUUUUAGGAGCAGUGAAGAACUUAAAUCACUAACACAACCAUCUGGGAUGCUAGAUGUAGAAUGGCGCAAGUUUGUGUCGGUAGCAUUUUGUAGUGACAAUUUAGUACUAUGUGAAGAGCCAUCACCACUGGAAGCGGAUUCACCAUCAAUAACAUAUUCGUUGCUUUCCAAAUAGUGUAUCGAAAUGGUGCGCAAUAGCUUUGGUGCAACAGGAAGCAUCUUUUCUUUCUGACCUUCCUUUCCAUAUAAUUUCUUUAGAAUAAAGGACCUCAAACUAGCUUUACCAGAAUUCUUUUUUGAGGCCUUCUGUUUUUUUCUAAUCUGGAAUAGAAAUGAAAGGAAUAAAUUAAGUUAAACUUCAAAUGGUUCAGUUGUCUGUUUAGGACUGUGUAGUUUUAGAAGGCACUUCUAUAUACUGCUUGUAUUAAACACUACAUGCAUGUAUCCAAAGAAUAUAUGUGUAUACUAAUGCCAACCUUACAGCUCCGCAAUAAAUGUGUAGAAAUAGUAAGCAGACAGUUUCAGAAAAAAUAGUACUCAUUUGAACUAAAAGGGAAAAAACGGAGGGCGCGGCAAUGCAUUUUUAAGUGCUUAACCAUCAAGCAGCAAAUAGGAAGUGAAGAUGGUUUAUUGAUGACAGACCAGGAGAUCAUAGAAAAAUAAAAAUAAGUAUUAUUCAAGGAAAAAACGAUUUUAAAGUAAGGAUGGGUUAUUCAACAUACUUCAGUAUUUUUCUCAUCAUCCAUGGUGCCACUGUCUUCGUUUUUCAAUGGCGCAUAGCAGCUUCUGCGUCUACCUCCUACAUUGAUGAGCAUAAUUUCUAUAAUUAUUAUUUGUUCACACGAAUUCAAAGUACAGUUUUGGUUAAGUCCACAUAAUGACAAAAAAAUACCAGCACUGAAAAAGCGAAAUAGUAACCAGUUAUAUUUACAUUGCAUCAUUAUCUGUACAGGUUGUCUUGAUGAUCAAACAUAAACAGCUUCCAAUAUAUGAAUUCUCAAUUGCACUCCACUACCUUAUGCUAAUAUCCAAGUCCAUUUCACAAGUAUCAAACAAUGAAGGACUCGAGAACUUACCACCACUGCUUUUCCGCUGACCAUGUUUCUUGUCAGCUAGCAUCUUCAUGGACCGCAGGCGACCCCGAAAUCCAAAGAACUGAAGAAUGCCCCAUCGGCACCCAUGUAAUUCCUUGCCAUAGAACGCGGAAUCCUGGUGGUGCAACAGCUGGGCCAUUUGGUGUUUGCUCGCCAGCAAAGAAGAGGGGUGGUUCCUUAUGAGCACCACCCUUGCAAAAUAAGGGACAGGCCUUCAGCUUUGCUCAACUUGCCCACCUGUCAUGAACAGACUGUCCGCUGAUUAACAACCUCGCAGAUAACACACCUAAUGCCUUUCCAACCUGAAUAAAUCAUUGCCUCCAGACCAUAUUGAAAGGCGUAUAUGCACCAGACAAAUUUAAUACAGGAAAAGAUGGUCUCCAACCAAAGUACCAAACCCACAAAAUUAACAAGCUAAAGUAAGAUAAUAAUGCUGACAAAAUGCACAAAGUAGCAUAAAAAAAUCAUUUGCACCAUAAUCUAUGAACGUGCAAAUAAAGCCAUCUUAACAGGGCUUUUCGACCUUUUCCUAGACUAAUGAACGAAAGAUGCUGACGCAACACUCCUCUUCCCAGAAACACGCAGGCAGAAAUCCACCAACUGCAAUGGAGGCAUUUAUUAAGACAGACCAAAUAUAAGAUAUCUUUCCAUAUCCGUGUUAGUUAGUGUAUCCCUUGCUAAUGAAUACUCAGAUUAGCGUCUCCAUUGCUAAUGAAUAACUAGGUGAUUAUAGAGGAAUGAAAGGUAUAUGCCACCGAGAUAAAGAAGAAAAUAGUGAUUGUAAGUCCUUUUUUAACAGUAUACUAAAAUUCAUGGACAAACAUCCUCAGUACAACAAAAAGGGGAAAAUGAACACGCACAAGAAACAACAAACGGAAGUGGGUAAAUUUCUCAUGAGUUAACAAUAAAAAUGUCUACCUAAACAUUACUAACAAUUGAAAAUUGAGGGGCAAAAGAAAGCAAAGCAGAAAUGUGAACCUAUACUAUAGCAUCACAACCCUUCAAAUAAAGAACUAAGUCCAUUGAAACAGUGCUAAGCUACAUAAUUUCUUUCAACGUCUAAGGGAAAUUUCCCGCUGUGAAUUAAAGGGCAACCUUUUGUAACUGUACUGGCUAAUAGCCUAAUAUAAUCACCACUUCCUCAAUCAAUCAAAUCAUGAAGUGCCAGAAAUCCAUCUUCAACAAGUUCAAGGGGGAGAAAAAAAAGGCACCAGGAUGAUUUCUCAAUGCUUUCCAAGAGCGAGAAAAUACUUCAGAGGAGCAAAUACAUGACUCUACAAUCCACAUGUACCUCGAACCAUGAAAAGGUAAAAAAAAUAAAAAUAAAUCACCUUUCAGCCCCAUGUCUCCAACAGGAUCCAAAAAACGUGACAAGAUUUAUGAAUUAGUGGUUACUGACCCGUCAGGCUUAGGACUCGAAAACAAUCAUAAUUCAUAAGCAGCAGGGAAUAAUCCUGAUGGGCAUACAAACAGAAAUGAAAAGCAGUAAACAAAUUUCAGUCGGCAGUGCCUAAACGUGACAUCUCUAAACAUGCUCUCUACGAUCCAAACAAAAACGACGAAGAGAAAAGGCAUCUCUUCUCUUCCCAGCAAAAUCAGCGCGGAACGAAACGCAACCAAAGCACGGAUGAAUAAAAACGCGUCCUGAAGAACACGGAUGGAAAAACAAAAUCACCUCCAGACUCGUGAGCUGACAGCGUUCGCAGCACUCCGACUCCUGUUGGUCGAUGAAACCAGCAGAAACGUAUGGACGCCUUUCCACGAACAGAUUAAACGCGCACGCAAAGCAGCGCCGCCAUGGAACCCAGCCACCCAGAAUUCGCGAAACACGCAGCAAAAAAGGGCCCAAAGAUUCGCUUUUUCUCCUCCGAAACUGACCUUGGGUUCAUACGACGACGGCGCCGCCUGCAGACGCAAAUCUGGUAGGUUUUGAACCGAGGAUCGGAGACUCUGGAUUCUGGAAGGGAGGAGUUGGUGAGGAACGAAACGGGAAUGAAUUGAGUAUGGAAAGAAACGGAUGGAUCCGGGAAGCGAGGAAGAGGAAAUGAGAGGGGGGUUUCCGUUAAAUUCUGGUCCGUGGCGGCCCCUGCCCGGAUGCCUGGAUGGCGGGUGUUGGUAGUUGAAAACUUCCGCCGCUUGGACAGUUAGGUUUUUAUUUCUUUUUACGAGGAUUAGUUUAUUUUGUUGUUGUUUCUGUUAUAUAGGUUAAUCCUGUGUUAUUCUCUCUAGAAUAAUUGUGACAAAUUCGGCGGUGAAAAUAUGGAUUCUUUUCGGUUUGAUCUUCUUUGUACGUUAAUGGUGAUUUGAUAUCGUAUGGUGAUUUGACAUCGUAUAUCAUCGUAUGAAUGAUUUUUAUAAAUCAGCCGUGGGAAGAAGAUCGUGAUUAGGAAUAGUGGCGGUGUGUCUUACUCGUCUAUGGAUCCAACAGAAUAUUUGACAAUCUUAAAUAUGAGAUUAGAUACCGAAACGCAUUUGACAUGAAGAUCAUGACGUAGGAUGACGUAGUCUACAUGGAAAGACAGGAACUAGUCGAGGAUUAGUAAAAUACUCGUUGUAAUUGUAACCAACCGACUUGUAACCCUACUCCCAGCAAUAUAAGAUGAAGUGGGGACCCCCUCCAAAGCAAUUCAAUCCAACCAAUACACAUGACGUAGAGUAUUACGCAAUCUAGCGACUCGAACCUGUCUAAAUCGUGUAUCUGCGUUUACCUUUGAGUUAACCAAAACACUACCUUAAGCAACCCUUGCCGAAUUUAAACACUGACAGGAUUGUAGAGAGCGUUUCCAACGGUGAGGUGAGGGUACAGGAGCCUUGCACACGUGGUGCUAGGGGCGGCAAGUGGAGAGGCCUUCGCUCCGUGGAGGGUGACGAUUGUGGUGUACCGCUUAAGGCAGGAGGCAAUGGCGGGGGGAGAAGAAGACACAGCGGACGAGCUAGAUGAAGAAGAAAGAGAACCCACCGUCUGAUCAGAAUCUAAUAUAAGAAGUGUUCUUUUAUCCCCAUGAAAAAGGUUAUUUUCAAUCCCUUGAAUAAUAGCAUCAUCUUAAGGUCACUAAACUGCAUGUCAGCAUAUGUUCCGGCUUGUUCACGUAUACGUGCAUGAAUUAUGCAUAGAAAUCGAAAGGAAAUAACUUUAUAUAGUUUCUUUUAAAAUUAUCUAACAAGUUAUAAUAGAAAUUAAUCUGAACUCACGAAUUCUUCUUUUUAAACAAGAACUCAUGAGGGUCUAUGAUUGAAAUUUGUCUCUUUCUGUAUCUAUUUGCUCUAGCAUCAUCUUAGCUUAGGUGAUUAAACUUACGCUUGUCCUGAGAACUAAAUCCAAAAGACGAUGAUAUAUGGGAUGGUGGCUAUCAUUGUCAACUGCAUAGCGAGCAAACUAAGGACACCAACAAACGCAUAAAGCAAGGCAAGGUAUGGUGAAAGUACAUAGAACCGCGUUGUCGUCCAGCCAAACGGGCUUUAUUGCCUGGCUUUUGGAGUGAUAAAACCAUUUGCUUUUGUGUUCCAAAGCCUCAUGUUCCUCCUUGAAUUCAGACCCCUUUUCGUAGACUUCACCGUGCGUACUACUCGUUGGCAUCGUGGUGGGCCAGAGGAAAAUGUUUGUGUGAAUUUGACCCCUCCCAAGAGAUUUUUUUCCCAAUUAAAAAAUCAGCGAGUAAUGAUUUCAGAAGAAGAAGUGAAGGGUAAAAAUACCUAGUCAAUGCCUGCAGCAGUGCCAAUCAGACUUGGCAUGAUUUUUGGCUGAUUCUUAUUGGCUGCGAAGCUAUCAUUGGAGUGUCAAAGGUAGGUCUUCAUCAUGAAAUAAAAGAGAUAAAAGAAAAUGGUAGGAAAGGAUGAAGUUGGGCAGUCUUGUGCUGACCUUUUCAAUAUCCCAUGCUUCCUCCAUAUAAAUUGCAUUAUAUUCCGGGCUCUCUAGAAUUUGUCAAUUUGCAGCUUGGCCCUAUAUAUCUUCCGCAAAAAUUUCAUGUCAAAUAUGAAAUUGAGGUACAAUUACCUUGCAAAAAUAAAAAAAUAAAACAGGGUUAACAUGAAAUCAAGGUACGAUUACCUCGC